rnacentral:rRNA from 1 species
UAGGGAAUCUUCCGCAAUGGACGAAAGUCUGACGGAGCAACGCCGCGUGAGUGAAGAAGGAUUUCGGUUCGUAAAACUCUGUUGUUAGGGAAGAAAAAAUGUAUAGUAACUAUAUACAAAAGAGACGGUACCUAACCAGAAAGCCACGGCUAACUACGUGCCAGCAGCCGCGGUAAUACGUAGGUGGCAAGCGUUGUCCGGAAUUAUUGGGCGUAAAGCGCGCGCAGGUGGUUUAGAAAGUCUGAUGUGAAAGCCCACGGCUCAACCGUGGAGGGUCAAUGGAAACUAAUAAACAUGAGUGCAGAAGAGAAAGGUGGAAUUCCUAGUGUAACGGUGAAAAGCGUAGAGAUUAGGUGGAAAAACGGUGGCGAAAGCGGCUUUGUGGCAUGCAACUGACACUGAGGCGCGAAAGCGUGGGGAGCAAACAGG